UACGUGGGGUGCGAGCGUUAAUCGGAAUUACUGGGCGUAAAGCGUGCGCAGGCGGUUAUUUAAGUCAGGUGUGAAAGCCCUGGGCUUAACCUAGGAAUUGCGCUUGAGACUGGAUAGCUUGGAGUGCGGCAGAGGGAGGUGGAAUUCCACGUGUAGCAGUGAAAUGCGUAGAGAUGUGGAGGAACACCGAUGGCGAAGGCAGCCUCCUGGGCCAGCACUGACGCUCAUGCACGAAAGCGUGGGGAGCAAACAGG
rnacentral:rRNA from 1 species